AACCACGAGUACCUUUUGAGAUUGAGUCCUUAUACCUCGCAGAAGCAGAAGACCAUUUGGAUUUUAUAGAUUCAGAAAAUGCAAGAAACUCGGAUGAGCUUGACCCCUGGGGACCAUAAGUUGGUGGUUGGCUAAGCUUAGAAGGAUCACUUGCAUGGGCAGGAACUGAUGAUGAUGCAGGUCUAAUACUAGAUGAAGUUGCAGAAGCAGCAGACCCAUCCCCAAAAUAUCCAAAGCCUUGGAACUGUACUGUGGAUUCAUUAUUCUGUGUCUGGUUUGAACUAACUCCUACCGGCACUGAAGGUACAACCUGUGUAGGACCAAUUCCUGAAGACGCCUGUCUUCUCCUUCUGUUGACAAGCCGGACUCUACUGGUCGCAGCAGCAAAAUGUCGCAUAAUUCGCUCCUCAAAAUCUGAAUCAUUCUGCUGUGUGGCAUCAUGAUUGGCUUCAACAUUUUCGUUAGUAUGACGCACAUUAAUCCUUGACCUCAUGUUCCUUUCAAUCUCCA
rnacentral:misc_RNA from 1 species